UACGUAGGGUGCAAGCGUUGUCCGGAAUUAUUGGGCGUAAAGAGCUCGUAGGCGGUUUGUCGCGUCUGCUGUGAAAACUCGGGGCUCAACUCCGAGCUUGCAGUGGGUACGGGCAGACUAGAGUGCGGUAGGGGAGACUGGAAUUCCUGGUGUAGCGGUGGAAUGCGCAGAUAUCAGGAGGAACACCGGUGGCGAAGGCGGGUCUCUGGGCCGUAACUGACGCUGAGGAGCGAAAGCGUGGGGGGCGAACAGG
rnacentral:rRNA from 1 species